UACAUAUGUGGAUAUAGAAGGGUUAGUUAGUAAAUAGUACAAAACCCAUUUAAUAGAGAUUCCAUGAGAGGCAUUUUAUUAUAGAUUGUUGGUUGUUCGAGACCAAAGGACUGUCUUCAAGAAACUGCAUUUUGAUGGUCAUAUUAAUUAAAUGGGUUGCUUGUUUUCUCUUUAUCAGUCCUUCUACUAUCCACAUCCAUA
rnacentral:pre_miRNA from 1 species